AGCGAACGCUGGCGGCAGGCUUAACACAUGCAAGUCGAGCGGGCAUCUUCGGAUGUCAGCGGCAGACGGGUGAGUAACACGUGGGAACGUACCCUUCGGUUCGGAACAACUCUGGGAAACUGGAGCUAAUACCGGAUACGCCCUUAUGGGGAAAGGUUUACUGCCGAAGGAUCGGCCCGCGUCUGAUUAGCUAGUUGGUGGGGUAACGGCCUACCAAGGCGACGAUCAGUAGCUGGUCUGAGAGGAUGAUCAGUCACACUGGGACUGAGACACGGCCCAGACUCCUACGGGAGGCAGCAGUGGGGAAUAUUGGACAAUGGGCGCAAGCCUGAUCCAGCCAUGCCGCGUGAGUGAUGAAGGCCUUAGGGUUGUAAAGCCCUUUUGUCCGGGACGAUAAUGACGGUACCGGAAGAAUAAGCCCCGGCUAACUUCGUG
rnacentral:rRNA from 1 species